rnacentral:lncRNA from 1 species
CAAUGGCAACCAGCAGAGCUUCCCCUGAAGAUUGGAGGGGAUGAGUCAGGGGCAAGGAAGGAUUAACAGAUUCUGCCUCAAGUCCUGGUGAACCAACUCCUCUCCCCAAGACAGACACAUACUAGUGAAAUAAAUUGGAUUUAAAUCAUCACCUGAGGCAAUCCUGAAAGAGAAAAGCAGUCCUAGAAAAGAGUGGAGGAAAAGAGGACAGCCCCAUUCUCUUUGUGACCACGAAGACUGCCGCCAUGUGGUUGGGAGCCACGUAACUUCUUUUAGUGCCAGCUGAGAUUCUUCUGCCCUGGAACUAGUUCCUCCGAGUUAUUGCCAGGCCUGGAGAUUGAAUUCCUGCAGCUGGAAGGUGGGGAAAGCAAAAUGUUGUGAGCACCUACCAUAUGCCAGGCACUGUUCAGUGAACUGGUUGUACAGGAGUGAAUGAGAUCAUCUUGAUUUUGAGAAGUUUAUAAUCUACUCAAGGGAAACACGUGUAAUCAACUAUGUUUCAGACAUAACCCCUCAAAACCAAAGCAGAACCUCUUCAAGGAGCUGAGAGAUGCAAGCCUGGAGGAGAAAAGCGGGGCAGCAUCAAACCCCUCCCACUGGGGCAACCUGCUGAGCAUCUCCCUGGCCUUGGCCCCUGGCCAUACCACACAAGUGUCCAAUGAGUCACUGAUCCUGAAGAACAAGAGAAGACUGACCACAGACCCCAAAAGGAAGCAGGAGUACAACCUUCGAAGUUGGUGGGCAACAAGAGGUCAGAGGUUGACAAGCAUCCACACAGCUCUAAGACUAGCAUCAUGUGGCUACCCAGGACCUGGGAGAGUGCUGCAGAGCAGGAGCAGGAAAGGGACCGGCUGUUCCCAUAGAACUUCAUGUCACAGGUCUGGGAGCCAGGGGGCCUUGGUUCUAGUCCCAACUCUCCCUCUAAGUUGUCUUAUGGCCACAGCAAUGAACCAAGACAAUGAGAAGUAGCGAGUACAGUUGAGGAGGCCUUGUCUGAGGAGGAGGCAGGUUUUCAUGAAGAUGCAGCAGAUCAUCUGGGAGAAAUUGAGAAUGAGGAAGGACUUGAUAAUAGGGCAUCUUAGUUCUGCUGAACACUCCUGAAUAAAGGGGAGGCCACAAGUCCCCACAUCUGGAUAAGGAGCCCAGUUGGUGGGCAUGGAACGGACCUUGACACAGAAGAGAAUGGAGAUAUGGGAGCCAUGUCCUGGAACCCUGGCUUGGUGUUGAAAUAAAUUAGAAGCUGACUUGCUGUGCAGCUGGUAAAGCUUCCACUUCGGGGCCCUUCAGUUGCAUGGGCCUUUCCCAAGACCCCAGGGAAGGGCUUAGCAAUAUGCUCACAUGGUCUGAUGUUCUUAUAUGCAAACAAUUUUUUUAGAGAUAUCUUAAAUAUGCUUGCUCAACACCUCUGUCCACUUCUGCCUUCCCUCCAUCCUUCUUCUUCUUGCCUUGAGUGUGUUUGGAGAUCAUGGGGGCUUUGAGGCUCCAUCUAAGAGGAAGUUAAAUGGAAGAUCCAGUUAGCUGGGUUUCAUGGGAUAUAUUUGUGAGGUUCACAGUCACUGUUGUGUCGGGUUAAGUUACUGCUAGCUGUCCCAGUAUGGAGUAGAUUCCAGGAAUACUCCUGAGGCCCCCGUGCUGACCUGCCCUACAGUGAUGUGAUUGUACAGGGCCAGGUCAUACCGUGAUCAGGACGUGGCCUGUGUACUGGCACUGUACGGCUGGAUAGUGGAAGAGAAGCUAGGAUAAACAUGUGCAGACCAAAACUGGUCUGUGGAAAAUUCUCCCUAUCAUCAGACACGUACAAAGCUAAGCAGAGGAUUCUGUUUUCAAAACACCUGCUCAAAACGGAAGAGCUCUCCUGUCAGUAGACACCAUCAUCCACUGUCUAAAACAAUAAAAGUCCUGUACAAUAUUUUCUUUGUUAAUGGACAUCAGUGAAAUGACUUGUUCAGGCUUCUCAAGUGUGUAGAGCACAGACCUAUGCCAGUACUACAAACAGGGAGUGAGUUCGUGUGCAAAGUUAUAUGCCUUAUGGCCGGGUGUGGUGGCCCAUGCCUUUAAUCUCAGCACUUUGGGAGGCCAAGGCGGAUGGAACACUUGAAGCCAGGAGUUCGAGACCAGCCUGGCUAACAUGAUGAAACUCUGUCUCUACUAAAAAUACAAAAAAAUUAGCCUGGCUACUCGGGAGACUGAAGCAGAACUGCUUGAACCCAGGAGGAGGAGAUUGCAGUG